rfam:Daphnia pulex DAPPTscaffold_245_Cont7749, whole genome shotgun sequence.
CCGUCGAUAGCUCAGAUGGUAGAGCGGAGGACUGUAGCGGCAAUCGAAAUCCUUAGGUCACUGGUUCAAUUCCGGUUCGACGGA